CCUACGGGUGACAGCAGUGGGGAAUAUUGCGCAAUGGGCGAAAGCCUGACGCAGCGACGCCGCGUGAGGGAUGAAGGUCUUCGGAUCGUAAACCUCUGUCAGCAGGGAAGAACGGUCACUGUGCUAAUCAGCAGUGAAUUGACGGUACCUGCAAAGGAAGCACCGGAUAACUCCGUGCCAGCAGCCGCGGUAAUACGGAGGGUGCGAGCGUUAAUCGGAAUUACUGGGCGUAAAGGGCUCGUAGGCGGUAUGUCAAGUCAAGGGUGAAAUCCCCGCGCUCAACGUGGGAACUGCCUUUGAAACUGGCGAACUUGAGUGUGUGAGAGGAUAGUGGAAUUCCAGGUGUAGGAGUGAAAUCCGUAGAGAUCUGGAGGAACAGCAGUGGCGAAGGCGACUAUCUGGCACAUAACUGACGCUGAGGAGCGAAAGCGUGGGUAGCAAACAGGAUUAGAUACCCUUGUAGUC
rnacentral:rRNA from 1 species